AGAGUUUGAUUAUGGCUCAGGACGAACGCUGGCGGCGUGCCUAAUACAUGCAAGUCGAACGAAGCUUUCUUUCACCGAAUGCUUGCGUUCACCGAAAGAAGCUUAGUGGCGAACGGGUGAGUAACACGUAGGCAACCUGCCCAAAAGAGGGGGAUAACACUUGGAAACAGGUGCUAAUACCGCAUAACCAUGAACACUGCAUGAUGUUCAUGUAAAAGACGGCUUUUGCUGUCGCUUUUGGAUGGGCCUGCGGCGUAUUAACUUGUUGGUGGGGUAACGGCCUACCAAGGUGAUGAUACGUAGCCGAACUGAGAGGUUGAUCGGCCACAUUGGGACUGAGACACGGCCCAAACUCCUACGGGGGGCAGCAGUAGGGAAUCUUCCACAAUGGACGAAAGUCUGAUGGAGCAACGCCGCGUGAAUGAAGAAGGCCUUCGGGUCGUAAAAUUCUGUUGUCAGAGAAGAACGUGCGUGAGAGUAACUGUUCACGUAUUGACGGUAUCUGACCAGAAAGCCACGGCUAACUACGUGCCAGCAGCCGCGGUAAUACGUAGGUGGCGAGCGUUGUCCGGAUUUAUUGGGCGUAAAGGGAACGCAGGCGGUCUUUUAAGUCUGAUGUGAAAGCCUUCGGCUUAACCGAAGUAGUGCAUUGGAAACUGGAAGACUUGAGUGCAGAAGAGGAGAGUGGAACUCCAUGUGUAGCGGUG
rnacentral:rRNA from 1 species